AUAAUUUUAUCUUGUCUCUUUAAUGCUUUAUUUAUAAUUGUAGUUGAUCUCAUUUCUGCUUAUAUUUGGCUUUUUUAUAUAAUUAUUUUUAAAAUUGUCUUAUUCCUUUAGUUUCGGAUUAUUUUUGCUGAGUGAAAAUUUAGAUUCGAAAAUUUUAUGGCAAAAAGAUGUGCCAUGCGUAGAAUGGGUCGACUGUAAUCUGGGUUUUCAAUCUCUGUAGUUUGGGUUAUUUCACAAACGAUUUUGGUUAAGCAGGGUGAUUUUGCUUUGCUGCUAAGGUGAAUUUUUUGCAAUAUCUGUAGACACCCCAUUAUAGCAUAUUGAGCUGGAUGUAUUUCAUUUACAAGCUCAUAACUUGUAAUUCGAUGACUGGACAUUUCUACGCUAGAUUUAUUGUCCCAAUUGUUGAAGUAAU
rnacentral:misc_RNA from 1 species